CCGGCCCGCAAGCCUUACACUCAAACGGCAACAAAGCCACCAAAAUCGGCGUCUCCCUCAUUAUUUUUCUUCAAAAUUUCUACAAUCUCUCACCAAAUUCUUCCAAAUUUCAUGUGGGCAUUGAAGAUUGAACACUACAACAUCAUUCAUUAACUAUUUCGCACUUACAUCCAUCAAAUUUCGAGAAAUCAAAGAUAUGGCACCAAAGAGAAAGAAUACUCCGUCCACUUCAAAAGGCAACAAAAGGUCUCGGGAUCUUCUAUCUCAGCUCGCACUCAACUUGAUGAUAGGGGUCAAGGCAUUUUUGAACCCUUGAACACAAAGAUAGAUUUGAUAAUGUGGUCUCAAGAUGGAAAGUAUGGCCAAAACGACAAAUAGUGGUAGGAGACUUUGUAGGGUUUGAGAUGACCCAGUUGAUUCAUUUAAUAGAAUGAGAAACAGCAUCAGGUGAUUUCAGAAGGUUUACCCUACCUUGAUGCAAGAGUUCUAUGCCAACUUUAAUGCAAAGUUAGACACACUGGGAUCGAACAUAUGCAUCAGACAUGGAUUCAAGACAAACAGAUAGUAUUCUCGCUAGAAGUGAUUGAUACUUACUACGGACUGACUAGGUCAAUAUGGCAAUAUCGUGCCAGUACCAAUGAAUCCAGAUAUGUCAAUCAUUGCAAAAAUAUUGUAUGGGAGAGAUAACACAUGGCCACUCCUAGAAAAUGAAUUAGAGUACUGAUAUCUGAUAGACUCUCUUGUGAUCCUAUAAAAAUUCAUUGGUUACAACAUCAAUCUAAGCUCACACCGCACCACCAUCAAUCAUCUUAAAGCCAUUCUCUUGCAUCAUCUUGCACAAGGUUUUAAGAUUGAAUUAGGAUCUCUAAUUUAUGAUCUCAUAUGUUUUGUGGUAAUAGUCCAAACCUCAAAUAUAUAAAAAUCUUUCUCAAUCUCAUUUUUGGCAUAUGUCGUACGUCGGGUGUCAAAUACCUUCGAGGGAAGUUACUAUGUAAAAUUCAUCUGGAUUAAUGUAUUAUCAACUACCAAGACAUGGCAAUCCAUCAGACAGUAGAGACAUCGGCACAGUUAAUCGCAUGACCAAGAAGACCUAAAGACGGAUGAUCACAUUCCACCUCUUGCAUAGCGAGAAGCCAAUACCUGAUUUUCGGGUUAUUAGGCAGUUUGCUGGGCUGAGAAAGAUAAAUAGGACAUUAUGGCAUAUAGAACAAAUGAUGAUAGCUUCAUAGGCUAGGGAACAAGCAAGAGAUAAUAGGGAGCAUGGUAAGAAUGCUAGGAUGUAAGGUAUAGAGCGAGAUAUGAGCAAGCUCUCAAGUGAGCUAUUGACUUUACAUAUGGAGCAUGACCUCAUGGGGAGACAAUUAGAUCGAUGCACAAGACUAGUUGAGGGCACACACAUUAGAAAUGAGGCCAUACACAAUAGACUGGAGGACAUGAAUACAAGAGUGCGGGCCUUGUACAGCAGAUCAGAAGAUAUAUACAAAUAGGUUAACUAGAUGUGUGUAAUGAUUAGAGAACUUUACUCUCGAUCCACUCAUCCGCCACCAUCCACUUUGAACCCGUCUGGAGACAUCAUUCUAUCUACCACAUGUGGACUGAUUUUAAGAG